rnacentral:rRNA from 1 species
GACGUACGCUGGCGGCGUGCUUAACACAUGCAAGUCGAGCGGUAAGGCCCCUCCGGGGGUACACGAGCGGCGAACGGGUGAGUAACACGUGAGCAACCUGCCCCCGACUCCGGGAUAAGCGGUGGAAACGCCGUCUAAUACCGGAUACGACCAACCGGCUCAUGCCGGGUGGUGGAAAGUUUUUUCGGUUGGGGAUGGGCUCGCGGCCUAUCAGCUUGUUGGUGGGGUAAAGGCCUACCAAGGCGAUUACGGGUAGCCGGCCUGAGAGGGCGAACGGCCACACUGGGACUGAGACACGGCCCAGACUCCUGCGGGAGGCAGCAGUGGGGAAUCUUGCGCAAUGGGCGAAAGCCUGACGCAGCGACGCCGCGUGGGGGAUGACGGCCUUCGGGUUGUAAACUCCUUUUACCACUCACGCAGGCCCGGGGUUCUCUCCGGGUUGACGGUAGGUGGGGAAUAAGGACCGGCUAACUACGUGCCAGCCGCCGCAGUAAUAC